AAGAACAGGAAAAAUGCUGAAAAACUAAACAUAGACUGCAACAGGUGCUUAUCUUGAACCCAAGUUUAAUAAGCAAGCAUGUAUAAUGCGAAGCCCCACCUGCCAAAAAUUAAAGACAAAAACACAAUCCCACCAUUAGGCUGAAAAAGAAAAAAAAAAUGUUUUAACAUGUUUCCGUUUAGUUUACUCACAAAAAGAUGCUCGUUUCAUAUUCCUUCCCUUGUGGCCUCCCCUCGCACUUUUCCUAUCCUUGCCCACACAUUAUCAUUUUUAGAGAACAUGCUCAUAACCACCCACAUAUUGUACUGACAAAACUUUAUUAUCCCUAACGCCAAGUUUGUUUAUCCUUUUCAAUUUCCAGCUGGCUCACACAUCCAUAUCUACAGAGAAACAUCAAAAAAGUUUGGGAGAUUUUUAUCAUGAUGCUAUAUCAUAAUCAGGUCAUUCCUUGGUACAAUUUCUUUAAAGGUGUCACACACACGCUAAAAUGACCAAAGUGGAACUAAAGGUGAUUUCAUAAUUUAUCUCAGAAGCAUAUGCAUAUAGAAACCAUGAAAGAAACCUCUUUAACCUUUGCAGGCCACUGACACACACAAUUAGUGCAAGUCACAUUUUAAUCAUGUAACCCGCAUUUGAUCCCGUGUCAAUUCAUGUGUCAGCAGUUACAGUAUAACAUCAUUUGGGAAUAAAGGGCAGCAAAUGUAGAGCACAACGUCCACCAGUUAUUCUACGGUUAAAAGUGGUACUUGAAUUUUUUUUUUUUUUUUUUUUUUUUUGUCGUGCAAAAUGUUCCCCCUUAGACCAAAGCAAGCAACGGUCCAACUAUUGGAUGGCUCUAAAUGUUUAUCAUAAUUUUCCUACCAAUUGCAGGCUUAAAAUAAAAUAUAUUCUCAUGAGUAUGUGCUUUAACUUGGCCCAUUUACUCUAUUUUGGCCCACCUUACUCCAACGUUUCGACCACAAAUAUGACAUUCUGGGGAUUUUUUAGCACUAUCCUGAGGUAUCAAUUAUGUGCCACUGCAGUGGCUAUAAAUUUAAUCUUACCACCCACACCAAAAGAAACUUUGUUUGUUAUUGCGCAUGUUCAAAUAUAUGGGGGAUAACAUACACCCUCUGUUUCAUUGUCAACACAUUCAUGAUGCCCAUAUUUCACAAAUUAGUUAAAUUCUUUGAGUCUAGGGGCUUGUCGCUGCCUUGCUCUACAGUAAUUCUACAAGGCAAAGUCUGUUUUGAAAUGAGUGUAUUUUUACGUUUUUCAUUCGAGAGCCUCAAUGAUAUCAUUUUGCAUGUUGUUUUACUUGAUUUGCUCUCAGCGGGUUGAUUGUUCACUUGAGUUCUUUUCCAGUAGCCAACAUCUCCCACUAUAGUAUAGUAGCUCCCCUCCUGGGGAGCAAAGUACAGCAGAAAUAAUGAAAUAUCAAUAGGAGUCUCUCAGAUAUCUUUCAGCGGGCAUCCUCUCUGCCAGUAGAAGAACACUCAUGGGGUGGAGAGGUAUUUUUAGCAAAAAAUAUUUAUCCCCUCCUGUCGUCCUCCCUCUUCUGCAUCCUUGUCCCUGUCUUUUGCAUUAAUUUCCCCUCCCUCUCUUAGGUCUCCAUCUCAGCUGGAUAUAGCAGACGUCCUUUUCAUUCGACACACCAGUGUAAUUCGUUCUCUCUAUAAUCAUCCAUUUUCCAAUUUUCAUGCCCUCUCCCCGAACUUGACACACGCAUUGUGGAUUCUAUUUCACAGCAGUACACCGGAGCACACUGGUUUCCAUUUCAUUUGUUCAGUAUUUGUUUAGAAAUCCCAUGGUCGUCUGCCGGAAAGCAGUAACGCUUAAUAGAAGCUUCUCUGGCUGAACCAUGUUUAAGAAGUAUUUGAAUGUGCAAUUUUAUAGCAAGGUUCUGAAUCAAAGGAAAAUUCUUAUUAAUACUCUAAAUUGCUCUCUGUUCGCAAGUACCAACAGCGGAAACUCACAUUUAAACACGAUCAAUUCUGUGACAUUGGCAGUCUGUGAGGCUGGUGGUGACUCAACAUUAACAUGAACCACAAAGAUGAAAGAAACAAGAGGUAAAUUAAUCACGUCAAAAAGGGUUGUCUGCUUUCCGCUCUGAGAAAAAUCAUAUCUUUUUCUAAAGAUGCAUCAUAAACGUGACUAAGAGAGACAUUUGAAUCAGACCUUGUGUUGGUAUUAAAUUCCAAAGGGAAGGUUUAGUGUUGGGAGCUCCAGGCCACCCUUUGCAGGGGGCGGAGUCAAUGUGGCAAGGGCACCAAACACAUUUAGGGUGCAUCGGUGCCAUUUAUCAUGUUUGACAAGUGUACCUCUCAGUGCCAUUUGGCUUUAUUACAGGUACAUUUCUCCCUCACAUAAUGAUGUUUUCCUUCUCUCUUGUCCUCUGAGGCCAUGAAAACCUGCAGUGGAAAAAUCAAGGUGGUUUAUUUUUCUCCUGCAAAGUUUUUUUUUUUUAAAUCAUCAUUGAGGAUUUAAUAAAUGAAUAAUGUGAAGGAUCGAAUAUAAAAACAAACCAUUUACAGUAUGAUAGCACAUUUCGAACCCACAUAUGAGUGACAACAAGCCCAUUCUCUCAAACAUUAGUCCUCACUUGAAACAGAUCAAGUGAAAGAAUUGCAUUGUGAUUGUGUCUGUGAUGUGUUUGAAGGCAUUUUGAUCACUGCUUGACUUGACUUCUUGCAGAAGAUAGUGUGACCCCAAUGACAGAAUUGGCUGCGAACAAAUAUUAACCCUGCAGGAAGGCUCCAAUUAUCACACCAUUCCCAGUUGUCUUGCGUGUGAGUGUCAUGCAGCUGGUCAUCAUCUUUGUUUUGAUCAAGAUGAUGAGUUGCUUGAUUGCUUUGUGAAAUACUCGGUGUUAGAUGAAAUUCAUUUUCUGCAUCUGGGAUUCAUCAUGAUGCAUGAAUCAAUAUUUCAUAUCCGGGAAUCAAUGAAUGUGCUUUGUUUUAGUGUGCAGUCAAGCAAUAAAGUACCACAAUGCAGGCA